CUGUCUUGUUUAUAAAAAUUGAAUUUGACUUUUAAGUGAAAAGGCUUAAAUUAUAUAAAGGGACGAUAAGACCCUAUAAAACUUUAUAUGAAAUAAAUUUUUUAUUAUAAUUAUUUGUUUAAUAAGGAAUAGUUUAUUAAUAUUUUAUUGGGGCGAUAGGAAUAUAAAUAAAUAACUGUUCUUGUGAAAUAUAAAUAUCAUUAUUUAUAAAGAUCCUUAAUUAGAGAUUAAAAGGUAAAGUUACUUUAGGGAUAACAGCGUAAUUUUUUUUAAGAGUUCUUAUCGACAAAAAAGAUUGCGACCUCGAUGUUGAAUUAAAAUUUCUUUAUGGUGCAGGAGCUAUAAGAGAAAGUCUGUUCGACUUUUAAAAUUUUA
rnacentral:rRNA from 1 species